GCGUUUUGAGUCUGUUACCGCGGCCGGUGAGUACACCGUGGGCACUGCUGUACGCGGUACACGGAAUCGUGCUAUACCGGUACACGGCAUGUCGCUGACGUUUCGUUGAAGGCCGCGCACGUGUCGCUACAGCUAGGGCGCGCGCUUAGCUAGAUGGUGAGUACGCUCCCAGGCGACGAUGCGUCAGCGACCGAGAGGUGAUCGCCACACAUGGACUGAGACACGGCCCACAUCCACGGAGCGCGUAGGACUCCGCAUGACGAAGUCUACGAGCACGACCCGUGAACGAAGAAGCUCCGUCGUAAGCCCGUCGUUUAGGAAGACAGUAGCCCGACUGCGAACUGAGGCCUACAGAAGACACGCUAUACACAUGCACGCACCCCGAUACUACAAGUGCACGUUGCAGCAAUUUUUCGAAUCCGCCACGGGUCAUAUCGUUUGUAUUACCGCCCAGUCUUCAGGCGGAACGUAUCGCGGUCA
rnacentral:rRNA from 1 species